rnacentral:lncRNA from 10 species
UUUUUUUUCAAAACUAACAGAAGUUACAGUUUUCCAACAUUGGUGAGGAACCAAGACACAAAUGUAUUUGGCUCCUGAUAAGAAACAGCACAAGGAAAUCUUUAAGCAUUUACUCGUUGAACGAAAAUAGCCAACUAAUCUAAUUAGCUAACUACAACAAUAUUUUCAACACCUGGAUCGUGGGCACCCCCAGAGGUCAGUCACUGUUCCAAAUGCCAGUCAGUCCGAAGCAAUAGCUUUGCCAAGGGAAUGCCACGGGGAGGUGUUGCUGACAGCAAGGUGCCAGUAGAAACCUGGGGGUCAUGGGUCCCAUAAAUCAUUCACCAUAUUUUUCAAGCACAGAGAAUAUUUGCAGUUUAAAAUGAUGGCUGGAUCCAAAACCACAAAAUCAGCCUCCUGGAGUUUCCUCCUCCUCUCUGCGGGUGGAAACCCCAAGUCAGCUCAAGCGCCUGGCAUUCCAUGGAAAAUGUGUGUCUUUAUUGUCCAUGGCAAGGCACCAACAGCCGUUCUGAACAGGAUGCUGACUCACAUCUGCCGAGACACACUGACUGCACAAAGAAAAUGGAUUUCAUUUGUGUUUGAUGAAGGUCUCGGGAGAGUGGGGGUUGACUUGGAAAACAAAGGAAAACUGUCCAGAUCCUCUCCUUACCUAGAUUAUGGGGAAGACCACGACUUGACUUGACUAAGAUUACUGAGCAUACCAGUAUCAAAGCUGAGAAGAAAUCAUCUUUACUAAAAGAAGGUCAGAGGCAUGCCACAAAGAGAGGACAAUGCCACAGAGUUAUGGGUGUGUACACGUGGACGUAGUUCAUUUAUUAUAAUAAUAGUAACCUUUUGCCGGGCGCGGUGGCUCACGCCUAUAAUCCCAGCACUUUGGGAGGCCAAGGUGGGCGGACCACGAGGUCAGGAGUUUGAGAUCAGCCUCACUAACACGGAGAAACCCCAUCUCUACUAAAAAUACAAAAUUAGCCAGGCUUGGUGGCACAUGCGUGUAAUCCCAGCUACUCGGGAGGCUGAGGCUGGAGAAUCACUUGAACCUGGGAGACAGAGGUUGAGGUGAGCCAAGAUUGAGCCAUUGCACUCCAGCCUGGGCAACAAGAGCGAAACUCUAUCUCAAAAUAAUAAUAAUAAUAAUAGUAACCUUUUACUGAGUACCUACUAUGUUACAGGCAUUUUUAUCAGAUGCCCAUAUUCUAUCACGUACUUCUCACCACACCCAUCUGAGGUGGGUGCCAUUGUCAUCCCGGUUGUACUAAUGAGGAAACCAAUGCUCAUAGAAGGCAGAGACUCACUCAAGGUCACACAAGCAAGACACUUGCAGGGCUGAGAUUCAAACCGGGACUAAAGACCCUGGCUCACUGCACUAGGCAACUCUGCCUCCUGUGAUAGAAAAUUAUGCAAAACUUGAAAAUAAAGCAAGAGGAAGACAGCAUAUCCUCCAGGUAUGUGCUGGAGCACUAUCUCACAGGCCCAAAGACUCCUGCUCAAGGGGCCUGCUCUUACCUGACGUGCUACUUACUACUGAUUUGGGCAUACACUCUGUGGGGUUACAUGUUAACUUGUAGAUUUUGGUCCAGUAGAAAAGAUAACCCCAAAGGUUGUGGCUUCACUACCCUAUAGGACAUUAAUGGUCUUGUAUUCAGCUCAACAAUCUUUCCUUUUUUUUUUUUUUUUUUUUAAACAGGGUCUCACUCUGUUGACCAGGCUGGAGUACAGUGGUACAACCAUGGCUCACUGUAGCCUCGACCUCCUGGGCCCAAAUGAUCCUCCUGCCUCAACCUCCUGAGUAGCUGGAAGCACAGGCACUCACCACCAACACCCAGCUAAUUAUUAAAAAUAUUUUUAGGGAUGAGGUCUCCCUUUGUUGCCCAGGCCCUCCCAAAGUGCUGGGAUUACAGACAAGAAAAUCAUAGGCCAGGCCUAUGAUUUC